rnacentral:lncRNA from 1 species
CUCGGGGAGGAGAGGCCGGCGGUGAGGGCGGGGGUCCCGGCCGCGGACCCGGGACCUGGCGCUCGGGCGGGCGCGGCGGGCACAGGCCGGGCCGCCGUCGGGGAGGAGCCGACCUGGUUCCCCAGCCUGGACUCGGCUCGGUCAGGGCAGGCGGCGGAGACGGCACCCGGCCGGGUCGGAGGGGCCGCCGCCCUUGGCGUGUGGACGAGCCCCCACCCUGGGGUGCAGGGCCCCGAGAGAUCGGAGUUGAGGCGCGAGUGUGCACCCCUACCUGCCUUGCACACCAGCGCCGUGUGGAACCAGGCCAGGCCUAAUCUUGACUCCAACCUCAUCAUCAUAUGGGAAACUGAAGACCAAGAUCAACAGAUCUUACAAAUUUAGUAAACUUCAGAUCUGGAACUAGAAGCUAGCUUUUACUACAAUUAGAGGAGUUUGUCAUAUGAAAGGAAUUCUUCAGGCCGACAAGAUGGCAGAUGACACACACACCUGUCAUCCCAGCUACUCAGGAGGAUCAUAAAUUCGAGGCCAGCCUUGCCAACUUAGCAAGACACUGUCUCAAAAGGGGUGGGAGAUAUAGCUAAGUGCUCCACGGUGUUAAUGCCCAAUACCACACAUACACACAAAGGGAAUUCUUAGAGGUGGAAAUUCUUAAAGUCACUAGUCAUAGUCCUUUACAAAAUAUUUGUCGCAAUAUUUAUGUGUCAUAUACAUAGAAUAUGUCAUAUAGAUGGAAUAUAUACCAUAAAAUUUUUAAAUGGGGUUUAACCUAAGUGAGCUACUUUGAAAAUAGUCAUCCCAAUGUAACAUAAAAUUGCUAUGUAUGCUCAAAACUAAAUAAAGUAAAAUAUUGUCACAAACUCUCUA